rnacentral:rRNA from 1 species
UACGUAGGGGGCAAGCGUUGUCCGGAUUUAUUGGGCGUAAAGCGCUCGCAGGUGGUCCGAUGCGUCGUGCGUGAAAGCCCCGGGCUCAACCUGGGAAUGGCAGUGGAUACUGGCAAGCUAGAGUGCGGUAGAGGGUAGUGGAAUUCCCGGUGUAGCGGUGAAAUGCGUAGAGAUCGGGAGGAACACCAGUGGCGAAGGCGGCUACCUGGACCAGCACUGACACUGAGGCACGAAAGCGUGGGGAGCAAACAGG